AAGAUAAGAGCCAGUCAGACUAGCGAAGGACGACCAGCCUAAGAGAGCUCCAAACAAACUUGAAACUCUAGCUAGCUACAGCUAACUAGAAACCAAGCUGUGGAGGAUUAAUUUAGGCAAGUCAUCCUUGGAUACCAAACAUGGCUCUCUUUA
rnacentral:pre_miRNA from 1 species